AGCGAACGCUGGCGGCAGGCUUAACACAUGCAAGUCGAGCGGGCGUAGCAAUACGUCAGCGGCAGACGGGUGAGUAACGCGUGGGAACGUACCUUUUGGUUCGGAACAACACAGGGAAACUUGUGCUAAUACCGGAUAAGCCCUUACGGGGAAAGAUUUAUCGCCGAAAGAUCGGCCCGCGUCUGAUUAGCUAGUUGGUGAGGUAACGGCUCACCAAGGCGACGAUCAGUAGCUGGUCUGAGAGGAUGAUCAGCCACAUUGGGACUGAGACACGGCCCAAACUCCUACGGGAGGCAGCAGUGGGGAAUAUUGGACAAUGGGGGCGAACCCUGAUCCAGCCAUGCCGCGUGAGUGAUGAAGGCCCUAGGGUUGUAAAGCUCUUUUGUGCGGGAAGAUAAUGACGGUACCGCAAGAAUAAGCCCCGGCUAACUUCGUG
rnacentral:rRNA from 1 species